AGUCAGGAUCUGCUGCCUCUCCAAGAUCUGGGCGUCCCGCACUGCAUGGCACUGGGCACCCAGGAUCAACUGGGCCACCACAAUAAGGUACUGAGCUCUUUCCUUUGCCUCAGCUUCCAGCUCGCUUAGACCCUGGUUCUUCUGACGGGACAGAUCAGCCUGACGGAUAUGUGCCUUCCUCUCCUCAGCAGCAUCCUGGCCAGGAAAACCAGAAACAUUGUGGAACGGUGCAAGUGGUUUGCUUUCUUGCUGUUAACGUUUACACAAGGGUGUAGAGCCGAAGCUGGGCCCUGUAGUAUCAGUUCACCAAGUUUUCAUGUGGGAAAGAGCGCUUACAAAGUCAUCAUCCUCUCUAGAGUUGCAAAAUUGUAUCCAAUGUUUUCUGAAUAACCUGAUUAAGUACACAAUCCAAAGAGAAUAAGAACAAUAUCCUGAAUCUUUUAAACAAGAUUUUAGGAAAAUACGGGAAAGUUACUGGAACUUUACGUCCUUUCUCACCAUAGCCAUUUCUCUCUCCUUCUGCUGGGCUUCCAACAUUGCCUCCCGCUCCUCCCUGGUUGGAACUCGAGAAGCAGUGGCAAUCCUCUGAAUCUCAGAGGGGCGCAGAAUGAUGGACAGCCCAGAUGGAUCCUCACUCGGGAUCCUGGGAAAAUUACAAAAUUAUUUGUUUUUUAUUUGUAAUUCACCACCUGAAAGAUGUAACUGUCUGAAUAUCUUUAUUAGUGCAAUUCAAGUUCAUGCAUUCUUUUUAAUGAUAUUGCAGUAUUAAGCAAAGUACAAAAAAAUGUAUUUGCACAUAGCAGAGUAAUUGCUUCACAUAGUGUGAGAAAAAUUACUUAAAUGUAAAAUAAAACAAUUAAACACAAGUUGUGGAAUGCUGAAAAUACAUUAGACGUGAUUAACACAUUCACAGUAUAACAGAAUGAGAAAUAAAGGUAUAGACAAAUACUU